rnacentral:lncRNA from 1 species
GGUUGAGGAAAUCAUUGCAGUAACCAUGUAACAGUUAAGCAUGCACCAGCUCAAAAAUUUGGACCAAGAUUUUAAAAAGGUAAACAUCAGUGGAUCAGCUCUUUUCUGUCCUCCUUAACUGAGUGAUAUAGUUUAACUCUUGUACUGUACGUACAUACAUGUACAUUGAACUCAAAAUUGGAUUUUGUUAUCUAACGUUUGCCUAAACCACAUGUUAUGCAACCAAUACACAACGCUUAUUAUCAUAAAACGCAGAGUUUGAAUUUGAAGAGCAUCUGCUUUACUGUUCUCUAGAUAUGUCCUUUAAAUUAAGUUUGAUAAGAUCAUUUGUGGCUCAUGGACACAUUCUUCUUAUAUUAAUUUUAUUUAUCAAAUUAUAAUUUGUUGAUUUUAUAGAUUGCGUUCAUUGGCAUAUAUGCUAUGAGGUCUUGUUGUAUCGAUGUACAUGCUAAAUUUAUUAAGGUAGAAUCCUUUGCAUAUCUUAAAUUAAUUGAAAAAUGACAAUAUUGUGAAACCAAACUUCCUUUAUUAAUUAUUUGAAGAAUAACCACUGGUUGCUUCAGAAAAUAUUAUGUCCCCUCUCCCCCAGGGAAAGCUCUUUUCUUAAAUUUUAUUUGGGGGUUGUUGUGUAUGAAAUACCAAAAUGCAAAAGGAGUUUAUUAUAGGACCAGCAAUAGAAAAAAUAUUGAUUAUGUUUAAACACAGGAUAAUUUUUAAGAACUGCUGUGUAAAUUCAUAAGUUGGGAUCAAUUUAUUUUUUUGUAUUUUAUAAUUUAUGAUUUUUUUUUCAGAGAUCUGUAACCAACACAAGACCAGCUGGGUCAAUAUUCCUAAUGCGGCUCCAAAUGAGGAACUAAUGCGCCAUCAAAAGUUGUGUGUAAACAAAAAUUGUCUCUGAAGUGAUAUUGAACAUGUUUCAUUUUUAACAAGUGACUGAGCUUUACCAUUUGUGUUGAUCUGGAAAGUAGAGGAUCAUAG